UUACCUCAAGAUAAAAGAAACCACUUUUACCCAACUCGCACGAAGAACACCAAAAUUCGAAGUGCAACACGAAGAACAGAAAAAGUGUGAACAGACUUGAAGGGAAUGAAAAAAAGGGAGAAGAAAGAAAUAGAAGAGAGACAAAAAGAUAAAAACGAAAAAAGAAAAAAAAUAGAGGAAAGGCAGAAACUGACGUCAGAUUUUUGGGAAGAGAGAAAAAAUUUUAAAAAUAAAAUAAAAUAAAUAACCAAUUUGAUUAAUAUCCCAACUCCCCAAUAACAACCACAUCCCUUAAUAUCCUCCCCAAUAACUACAUCCAACUACUUCAGACUCCCAACUCCAGCAAACCUCUAACAAACAAC
rnacentral:lncRNA from 1 species